CGCGGAGCGGGGGCAGAUGGGAGCAGAGCGGUCCGGUCCCAGGGCUCGCUCGGGAGCGCGAACGGAGAGAGAAGAGACAGCGUAGAGCCUGCGGGGGAGGAUAAUCGAGAGCUGUAGGUCUUGAUAUCGCUUCCCACUCUGAGCACGAGGAGGAGGCUCGGGAUGCCAAUCUGGAGCAGUGCUGCAUCCAUCAGUGGUUUUUGUUCUCACAGCCAUGAACUCUGCAUGGGGAAGAACUGAUCAGUCUGCUCCAGUGGCUUGGCUGUAGGUAUGCAUUAUCCCCACUCAGACCUUCGGAUGUGCAAACCAGUCUCUCCAGCCUUAAACACUUUGGUCACUCAGAGCACUUAUAUUUUCCUUCUCUUUCUCCCUUCCUCCCAAAACUUUCCUUCCUUGUCCCUACACCUCCUCAGACUCUUCUGUUCAUUCUUCCUUAAACAAUUUGCAAUCAACAAUAUGGGUCAAACAGCUGUUCUUCAAGUUGCUGGUUCUCAGGAGAUUCUCCCACAAUGAAUUAAACUACUAGGAUCACUGGAUGAUUCUACUUUUAUAGCAUCUGACCUAAGCUUUGACUGUGGUUCCCUGUUAGGUUCUGUGAUAAAAACUUUGUCUCCAUAAACUCAAAGCACACAUAAGCAUUAUAGCUGAUGGAGAAAGCCCCAUUUUAUCUCAAAGUGAUAAGCCCAUGUAACAGCUCAAUCAGAUAGCUUUUUGCUGCCUGUUUUCUUCAUCGGUGUUGCUCUGUUUCCCCAGUGCGUAUCUUCAAAAGCAAUAUGCAUUGAAUAUUUUCAAAAUAGGAACCAUCAUCCUAUUGCUUGCUAGUUUCCUCUGAUGUCACUGCUGUUGCUGUCAGGAGAACAAUUGCUUUCACUUGCUGCCCCUAAUAACCGUUCUAUAUUUCACGUCAGUAUGUAAUCUAUAGACCUGGGUAGCAUGCAAACUCUCCCCAUCCUAGUAUUGCAUUAAUACUAAUUAAUUAACUAGCUUUCUGCUCCCGCAGUCACUCAGCCUACCCAGUCCUGGGUGGUUAUGCCACAUUCACCAGUAUGUGAUGUGAAUUUCAGCCUGCAUUCACCAUAGCCACUUUAUUGUUGGUGAUGGGGGGACGAGGCAGAAUACCAGUGUCUGCAUGCUGCUGGCUCUGUGUGGAACAGCUGACCUGCUUACAAGAUGCAGGUCUUUAUGUCCUAACCUAGCCCUACAAAGCAUCUUUUCCUCUUCUUUCAUCCACCUUUAGUUCCCACAGGCCUUUGUUAUGAAGAUUUCAAUUGAUUGCUGCUAACAUACACUUGAGUCCAAAUAUCUGUGCUAUUCAUAGCAAAGCGCUCAUUCAGCCAAAUGCUUGGCUGUGUCAGUGCUCCUUUGAUCAAACUGAAUAAAAGACUAAACCAGGUGUUCCUCAUAGCCCCAGGUCAUCAGAAGGAAUUCAACAGUGCAGGGAUGACAUACAGAAAUAAAAUCUCUGAAGUAUGCAGGGUAGAUGAUAUCCAGGGUUCCAGCAAACAGGAGGAAAGAUUUUGCCAAAGCAGGACUUUAUCUGCCUUUAGAGGCCUUUCAAAGGUAUCCUGCUAAGUGGAAGGCAGAGAGAGGUACUUACGUGUGCCUAAGUAAGACUGUUCUUGUGCUGCAGGGAGCAAAGUGUGGGCUGCACAUAAACCAUUAAUUCGUGGUGGUAUUUCUCUUGCUCUUAUGCGAUGCAGCAGAGAUUUUCCACUUCUCAGACUCCUCACUAUAGCCUGAGUAAUGCAUGACCUUACAGCCACGUUUUUGCCAGAGUAAUAAGAGAUUCUGCCCUGUAGGAGCACAUGCCUCUUGGUUCUCGUUGUGCUCUUCUAGUGCUUUGCCACACACCCUCCUGGCUUUGUCAGCCUCCCACUACGUGCCGUUUUCUCCACUUAAAGCCACCUUCCAACGCUAUGCAGCCCCUUUGCCGUGUAUGACUGAUUCAGAGCUCUUACAAGUCUCAUUGGAACAACAGGGGGCACUCUCGCACCGCAGUCUCUGCACGGCCACAUUAGUUUCGCCAACGGUGGCUUGAGUCUAUCAGCUCUGGCAAGCAAUCAUGUGUCACCGUGUGGUUAAUUCCCAGUUUGCACCUUACUGCCAAUACUAAGAAUACUCCUUGAAAACAAAUAGCAAAGAUGUGCUCCUCGGCUGUGUGGGCUUCCCUAAAAGUUGCUUUAUGCUAUCUCCAACUCGAGGACAGACUAGCAAUUCAUUCCAUCAGUGGUCGAGACCCUUUCAUCUCAUCUCAUCCUUCUCUGCUUCUCUUUCUGUUUCCUCCUGCACAUCAGCACUAGUAACAGGAGGGUACUGUGUAAAAGUACUGUGUACUUUCAUCAGGGGAUUUGAAAGUAACCCUGUCGAAGCAGUUGCUUUUAGUCCAUCUCACUUCCUUCACAUGCAGCAUUGCUUGGCCCCACAAUCCAAAGGUGCGAGCACAUGGCAGCUGCAAAGGAGCUGCCAAACAUGGCACAUCUGCACAGUGAGGCAUUGCCCACUCUGCUGCCUUAAGGUGCUCACUGUGGGCCAGCAAGGACAGAAUCAGGCCAAGCCUGCUGUGCUUCUUUCUUAGCACAGCACAAGCUUCCCUGGAGGACCCUGUGCCCAUCCCAUUGCCCGACAGCUCUGCCAGCCUUCUGCCUUUUAUGCACCGUUCCCUCACUUCUCUUCUUGCAUCUGCUCUGUAGACACAGGUUCUGCUGUUUGUUUUUGCUGCUACCUGCUGAUGAAUUAAAUGGUGUGUCACUUCAGUUGAUCCCUGUAGUUUUUCAGUUGUGAUUCUUGCUGAUCACAGCUAUGCUUCCUUCCCUGUGCUUGUCUUCUGCCUGAGCAUAGGCACCCAUUAGAGGUUAUGCGUAUGUGUCCUACAGUGUCUUCAAGUGGUGGCAAAUAAGGCUUGGGAUCAACACUCAUACUAAGCCCAGAUUUUCACAGAGCUGCUAUCUGUAGCCACACAGUUAUAUUUCUGGGUUCAUCUGGUGAACAAGCUCCUUAGUUGCUCUCCCUGUCGGAUAUUCCCUGGACCAGAGGGAGAAGCUGAGCUUUGCAGGUGACUUACAAUCAUGGUAUCCUACAGAAAGGCCAUGAACCUUGGAGAAAAGGCUCCCACUGUAUUUCUCUCUAGCACUGUAUUUCACACAAACAUGAAAUAUGGGAACUGUUCUUGGAGCAGACACCAAACAGCUCCCAGCUGAAGGGUCUUGUCUGCCCUCUCUGACUGUUUCUGCACGAUGCCCUGCUUCAAAAGGCAGUAAGUGAAUGGCCAGACUCAUUCCUUACCCUUUCUCCUGGAAAGACAUGGUGUGGUGAUUUGAAAUGUGCAUGCUUCCUACAGAUGAAAAGAGAAUUGGACAGGUUACCUUGCUUCUUGAGCAAGUGCCUCGGUCACUGGACUAAUGGAGAGCUGGGAGUGAAUGCUGCUGGAUAUUCAGAAACACACAAAUUUGGCAGCAUAUAUUACACUGAGAGAAAUACCUGGACUGGGGCCUUCGUGUGGCUCAGAGGAACACUUACUAUCUGCACAAUGACUGGACUUAAACCAGCUUUUUGUAAACCACCCUCACCAUUCUGACCUAGAACAGGAACAGGACUUUAUGGCAUGUUCUUACUGCAAAAUAAGCCAACGACAGAGACCUAGCUCCACUUUGGGACCUAUCACUAAUACUGUACAACUCUUGAACUGUGCUAAAUAGCAAUUUAUGAGAGAGAUCUAGUGCACCACAGAGCUGGCAAUGGAGAGUGCACAUGAGACUGUAUCAGAACUGGUUCCUCAAACUCUUUGCUGCCUUCUUCAGGUUUUAUACUUCAGACUGUAUACCCCGAUGCUACACUGUGCAGUAGGCAGUGUAAGCUCUCCAAGGUCGUAGUGCUUGCUCUGUCCCAGGCACUAUGAACUGGAAAAACACACAUGCAUAAAAACCCCAUUUGUUAUGAGAGGGAUCUCAUGCAGCCCAGCUGAAAUCCAGAGUUAGAAGUCAGAUAAUGGGGAGAUAUCCAAACCUGAGUGUUCCUGUAGGUGAAUCGAAAACCUGUAGCAGGAAUUACUCACAUCUAUAAAAAUAAGGAUUAACGUAUUGUCAUAUUUUAAGCCUUAAAGGAGAGCUGUAGUUAAAACCAGACUGAAAUUUUACACCAAAUCCUAAGUGAAGAAAAAAAAUCUCUCCCUAAGGAUGUUGUAUUUCCCUUGUGUGCUUCACAGGGAAAGCCCAGUACUUUGGAAACAUCACUAGUCCAAAAACCCAAAGACUUCUAUUUGCUCAAGGAUUCUCAUACAUACCUUCCUGGGGUAAAACAAACUGGUAAUCCUCACUGUUAGAGAAACGAUGUUUAUCAAUACAUAAACACAAACUAUUUAUUAAAAAAAAUAAAUAAAUAAGGGCAAAGCUUAAUUUAAACCUACUACAGUUAAUGAAAGCCCCCAGUAGCCUGAGAUCCAGCUUCUCCUAACCCAGAAGAGCGGAGGCAACAUUAGCAUCGUCACACUCCUGCCCUUAGCCAUGACCCCUUUGGCACAAGGUUGAAACGCAGAGGGAGGGCAGGCUGCACUGCAGCAAUGCAGGGUACAAACUGCCGGUGCAGAUGCAGGACAACCACUGCACACCACCUCCUGUAUAAACCCCACUACGUUUCGUGUACAGAAAAUCGUUGCUGUGGAAAUACAUUCUUGUUGUUGUUGUUGUUGUUGUUGCUUUUUCCAUGCUGCAACAGCAGUUUUCCAGUACCUCUCUCCUUUCCUUUUGUUGUUCAGUUCUUUCUGGGUGAGGUGUCCCCAUCUCUGUAAAAUGUUUGGAGUUUGGCGGCUGGGAAGUAUUGCACAGGUGUGGAGGAAGGGAAAAACGUGGUCAUGUGUGGAUGGGGUGGUUUCUUCCUGACGGUGUGAAGAACCCAGCUGUUCUUGCAAUUGAAAGGCUCUGUCUUGCUGGCCAUACAUAAUCAGGUCUCCAUCUAGACUUUGCGUGACUGUGACGUACAGGAUGAGAGCCCGUGUUAGCAAAAGUAACCGAGCGAUGAGGUCAGUGCAGGACAAUGGGAAAAACUGAACUCUGUUACGACCGACCGUCAUGUUGAUAAAUGCAGCUUCAUUGUUUUUUAUAAACAAAAUUAAACUUAAUUUGCUUCACAGUGGCUAAGGUGCCGUUAAUUCAAAACCCACCAAAUUACUCACUGGACACAGUUAAUAGUCAGCAGACCACAUAGACCAGGCUUUGAAAGCAUUUAAUAUUCACUGAAGUGCUGCUUGUAUCCAAUUAUAACUCACUACUUGCCAUCUUAAUAAUUUAAAUCUGUCCACUCUUUAGAGAGGGGGGAAAAAAGCACUAAUCAAAGACAUGAAUGCACCUUUUGCUUUUGACAGCAUUAAAUUAAAACUAAAUGGUAGAUCUUGAAUGAGUUACUCUGCAAGAAUAAAGGCAUUAAUGAGGUAAUUUCAUUAUAGAGGCUCAUCCAAGCCUAUGUGAAAACAAGGGAAGUAAAUGGAGAGGAAAGCCACCGAGGAAAUUAGGGUUCCUUCCACACUAAUUAAUGUUUUGGGGCAUUUAGUAUAGGCACCAAAUUAACUGCUCCAAAGAACUCCAUUGAAGAAAAAAAAUACAUUGUUGCCCUGCCAUGUAAUUAGAAGACAGUACAAGGAGAACACUUAAUGAGUAUAAAGCCAGCCUUUAACUUAUUCUGCCCAGCUUCUGAAAACAUGCCAUUGUGGAGGCCUAAGUUUAAGGAAGCAACAGGCGUACAAUAUAGGAUUGUUUAGGUCCUUCUGUUCGGUGAGCUGUAAACAGGUAGCCCUGAAUGAGAGACUCUGGGACUCCUGGGAGGCCCGGCUUCCCAGCAAAAAAAGACUUAAAUGCAUCCAGAGGGAAGUAAAGAAGGUGAAUAGGCCCAGCGCAGCUCGCCCAGUGAAUGCUCACUGCUGUCUUAAAAGAUUACAUGAUGUUGUGCCACCCCCUCUCAUUGAGUUAUCUUUACACUGCUUUUGUCUCCUCUAAUUGGAGCUGAUGAGGUGCUAAUUGGUUGCUUUUUAAAAAAAGCACUGCUUAAGCACUGGCAAGCAGAGUAAGACAGCGUGAGUGGAGUUAAUGAGGGCUUAGCACCCCACAGACCUCAAGCAGCCCCACCGCCAUGUAUAGGCAUGCCUUCCUGUCGGUAUAAACGAGCACGUGAAGGGACAGGACUGAAUUUAGGUAAGCGUCCACGAGGGGGUCGCGAGCAACGGGGCAGCGCCCGGCGUGGCAGAGCCCGGCUGCGGGGCAGCGCCCGAUGGACGCCCCUCUGCAGAACACUUCGCGUGGGUUUCGUUUCCGCAGGGCUGACGGUUUUAUGCAGAGAAAGAAUAGAAAG
ensembl:lncRNA